rnacentral:lncRNA from 1 species
GACUUUGAGCUCAAUGCCAUGACUGAGGAAGACCACGGGGUUUUCUCUCUUAGAGGGGAGGUGAGUAUAAUUGUCAUACAUAUCUAUACCAGAGGGAGACUGCACUGAAUAUUUGGAGAAACAAAAGGGUAAAUUGUGGCAGAUACUACCAGUCCUUAGCAAUAUUUCCAGUUCUCCUUUUUCACUCCUCUAGUCAGUAGGCCGUAGCUAGAUGACUGGUCCCGUAGCCCGGCUGUGUCUAUCAGGAGGCAAUGCAUGAUUUCCCAGCCCAAAGUACAUGAGAGAUGAUGGACCCAUUUCCCACAUUCUCCUCCUCUUCCACAGUGAACCCAGAGCUUUGAGUUGAGAUGGGGGUGCCAUAAGAUUGAAGUACUCUGAAAAACAGAGCUUAAAGGCUUUUAACAGGUGAAAGUGCGGUCCAAAUUCUUAAUUUGUUUUUGUUGUUGUUGUUGUUGUUGUUGUGGAGGGCAUCUAUCCAAAAGCUUUCAGGACACACAUGAACUUUACACGAGCAAGGAAAAAAAUGUGUGCUCAGAUACUGAGAUGUUAGUGUUUUUGAUAAUAUAGCCUGAUCUCAUACAUACAUUUAUCUUAGACCAUUCUAUGCUAAAUACAUACAUUCACACAGACAAACAUAUGUGCAUACAUAUCUAAUGGAUUAGUUAAAAGAAAAUACAUUUCAACUUUUAAACCCAGAAAAUGUAAGUAAAUAUUUAACUUAUCUCAAGUGAAGACUUUACACAUAAUGUCGUGAAAACAACACAAGUGAAAAAGUAGAUCUGACUACUUGCAAAUAACACUUUUGAACAUCAGAAAUAUCAACAACUUAAUGAAAAUUAAUGACAUGCUGGGGGAAAACAUUUUUGCAAUAGAGGGUUUAUGUCCUAAUAUAUAAGAGGCUCUUAAAAAUGAGUAUCUUAAAAUAUCAGCAUCACACACACACACACACACACACACACACACACACAGACAAAGAAUAUAAACAUAAUUCUUCCAAUUUAUAAAAACAGAAAUACAGACAGAUAUCUUCCAAAGCCAUCAGAAUUUGAACCAGUGAUGAGGAGCACAUUUGCUUUCCUGCCCAAUUAACAGUCAUAGAAGAUCACCUGAACUGCCCCUGGGGUGUGGAUAUGCACCCUGAAAAUAUUUGGCAUACCAGAGCAUAGUUGGAUGUGUAUAUACAUAAUUGUGAAAAUAAAUUGUUUUAGAUUUUAAUAUUUUUCCUUGUGUCUAACUUUCUUUAAGCACCAACAAUUUUUAAAAAUAUAAAAAUAUUAUAAAUAUUUGUGUGAGGCAAGAGGAAUAUUGUUGGGUCUUCUAGUUACAAACCAUAGGAUCUUAGAGAUAACAAUGAACAUUCCCAAAAGCUCCCAUUUAGGAAGUUUUUGGUUGAUGGCAUGACCCUUGAAGGGAUCUGACUUCCUGAGAGAGUGACUCAUAAAUAAUUACUCCUUUUUAUGAUACAAAUAUUUUUGAAGAACAGCUAAAGUCUUCAUUAAAAAAGCAUUAUGCUCCUAUGAGAUUUCCCCAUGCCUAAGAUUAAUAUCACAGUUGAGGAGACCUGAGUAUUUUUUGUUACCUUACAAUUGUACAUAAAUAAUUAUUUUAUGCAGUGCCAUAGGUUAAAUGCAUAUCAUGAAAUUCACUUUCCUCCCGAUUGCCAUUUAUGUCACUUAAUUCAAUGAAAGUCCACAAAAAUACAGUAUGACUCAGAAUAUUGGAGCUGUGGCUAAGCAAGAAAAGUUCAUUCAAAAUUGAUUUUCUUUCAGGAAUCCUUGAUAUUCUUCAUUCCAAUUGUUCACCUCUACUGUAGGGCUCAGUAAACACUUAAGGAAGUUGCCGUGCACUGCAGCCUGCCGGAGACAUGAAGGAAUGUACGGGAGGAUAAUCGCAACAUCAUCAACCCAAUUCUCCAAGUAAUUUGCCAUGGGACAGGCACACCCCAUGUGUUUGGGAAGACAAUGGGAAGGUUCUGUUUUCUGCUCCAAGACUGAUUCAACCAGUUGGAUCUGGAAGGGGAUAAAGGGCUGUGUGGCUGCUUGAUUUUCAUUGUCUAGUGGCAGCCAAAAUUGGAAAAGAGAGAAGUGCAGACUUUAAAGACAAGCAGCGACAGCUCAUCAGCAGUCUAACAACACGACAGAUGACAGGCCCAGAGGCACACCCAGGGCCGCCAGCCCAUCACCCUGUGCAGGAUGUCAAAGAGCAGCUGCAGCAA